CGCUCCAUCCUCGUCCCCAUCCAGCCCCAUUCCCAGCCCUAUUGCCAGCCCUAUUGCCAGCCCUGUCCCCUCCGCCGGGCUCCGCGGCCGUGCUGUUCUGCCCUCCUCCCCCCGCCCGCCGCGCCGGUGCCUCCACCCGCCGAGCCGGGGGUCCCGCUGCCUCGCGUCCCCAAAGCACAGCCAUCCCUCCCUUUCCCGCAGCCCCGCCGGUGCGGGAGCGGAGAACUCGCCGUGCCCCUUCCUCCCGUACCUGCGGGAGCCCUGCGAGGAGAGCUGCCCCCCGGCGCUAUCGCAUCUCCCCCACGGGAAGAGGGGGAACCCCCCGGCCCCCGGGAGGAUACGGGGGGAGUGACAGGGGUGUCCCCCCGCUAAACCCCUCGGGGACGCUGCUCCGCUGCUGCCGGAGCCCCGGGGGCCGCCACGUCUCAAACUUCGGGGAAACCCGCUUCGAUGAUCUCCCCCACUCCCUCCUCUCCUCCCUCCCGCCCCCUUUCCGCUAGGAACCGGCCUUUUAUCCCGGCGAGGGAAAUACAGACCUCUCAGGAACAACCAGAAGAGCCAAACAAACAAGAAACCGCAGAAGAAAGCAUUGGAAAAGGCGGCCGGGAGAUAAUCCAGGAAUGCUUCAGAUAAGGAAAGGAGGGGAGCGAUACGUGCGGAGAUACCCGAAAAGUCAGAGCCUGAUGGAGCGGUUGAAAGAGGGAUGGAGGGUGGAGGGGGGGAAACCCGAACUUGUUUAAAGCCCAUUAAAGGUCAGAUCGGGGUGGGGGGUAGGGUGCGUGUGAUCAUAAAAGGAGGUUAAAUGCGAGGGGUUUAAGCGCGCAGAUGAAGCGCAGCGCCAGGAUUUGGGGGUGUGUGGGGGGGUGUUUACUAGCUCCCGAUGCAGAAAAACAAAAGAGCGACGGGUCCGUCCAGAGAGCCAGCCCGGGGACAGCCGGGGCUGCCCUGCGCCCACCGCCGGCACAGCCCGGGCCCGGGGAACCGCGGGGGAACGGGGGAACCGGGAACGGGGACUGCCCGCUCCCCCCCACGGCUGGCCCUGACGUUUGCAGAAGUUAUGGGGGAUUUUGAUUAAUUAGAUGGAGGGCUUCAUAAAAUACUUCCCAAUAAAAUUUACGGAUGUCUUAAAACUUUCGAAACACAGCUAUAUAUAUAUAUAUAUAUAUAUAUAUAUAUAUUUUAAUAAAACGAACUGGGAAAUGAGUUACUGGCCGCGAUUUUUUGUGACUUCAACGGUGACAGCGGUGACAGCGACGGGAGUGAAGGUACCCGCACACAAAAGGAGCCUUUCAGGGACAAAAGUUGCGGCGGCUGCCAGGUUUCCCCCGCGGUGGCACCUCGGGGUAGCCGGGGCAAAGCAGCACAGAGCCGACCUGAGCCUUGCCCUUCCUAUCUCACACUACAAAUAGACAAUUUCAGCCUAAAAUCCCCAAAAUAACCGCAGAGCCCGGCAGCACCAUAGUGUUGGGGUUGUUGAGUUUUUUUUUCUUUCACGAUUUAGGCGCUACAAGUUCAUUUGGGUUAAUUUGGAAGCGCUGCUCCGCGCCGGGGUUCGCGACGCUCCCUGCCUGCCUUUAGCCCAUCUGCUCCCCGCGCUUCUGUACUCCCUGCCUAUGCCAAGCCCUCUCUCUUGCCUGUUGAUAUUCCUAUACUUCUCGUUGCAUUAAAUAAUAAUAACAAUAAAACAAAAUUGCUGGGUAAAA